rnacentral:misc_RNA from 1 species
AACGCACCUUGCGCUCCUUGGACAUUCCGAGGAGCAUGCCUGUUUGAGUGUCAUUAAUAUCAUCAACUCCACUCACUUAGUUGGGUUGGGGCUUGGAUUGUGGAGGUUGUUGCGGGCCCUUUGGGUCAGCUCCUCUGAAAUGCAUUAGCGGAAACGGUUUGCGAUCCGUGAACAGGUGUGAUAGUUAUCUACGCCAGUUGGGUUGCUCUCUUGCGUGUUCAGCUCAUAGCCGUCGCGAGACAACAAUUGAAUGUUUGACCUCAAAUCAGGUAGGACUACCCGCUGAACUUAA